UACACCUGGGGUCACACCUGGGGUUACACCUGGGGGGCCUUGGACACACCUGGGGUUACCAGAGGUCACCUGGGUGCACCUGAGGGCUCACCUGGGGGUCACCUGGACACACCUGGGGGGACCUGAAUACACCUCAGACCACACCUGGGUUUACCUGGGUACACUUGGGGUCACACCUGGGGGUCACCUGGGGUUAUCUGGACACACCUGGGGGGGCGUGGACUCACCUGGGGUCACACCUGAGGUCACCUGGAUACACCUGGGGUUACCUGAGGUCACCUGGAUACACCUGGGGUCACCUGGGAGGGCUUGGACACACCUGGGGGUCACACCUGGCUCAAACCUGGGACCACUUUGAACCCUCCUGCACCUUCCAACCCCACCUGUCCUGGCUCACCUGUCCCAGGCGUGUCUCACCUGUCUCACCUGUCCCAGGUGUGUCUCACCUGUGUGUCACCUGUGUCACCUGUCCCAGGUGUGUCUCACCUGUACCUCCUCUGUAUCUCACCUGUCCCAGGUGUAUCUCACCUGUCCCAGGUGUGUCACUCACCUGUCUGAGGUGCAUCUCACCUGUCUCACCUGUCCCAGGUGUGUCCCAGGUGUAUCUCACCUGUCUCACACCUGUAUCUCACCUGUCCCAGGUGUGUCACUCACCUGUCCCAGGUGUGUCUCACCUGUGUAUCACCUGUCCC
rnacentral:lncRNA from 12 species